rnacentral:rRNA from 1 species
GACGAACGCUGGCGGCGUGCCUAAUACAUGCAAGUAGAACGCUGAAGGAGGAGCUUGCUUCUCUGGAUGAGUUGCGAACGGGUGAGUAACGCGUAGGUAACCUGCCUGGUAGCGGGGGAUAACUAUUGGAAACGAUAGCUAAUACCGCAUAACAGUAGAUAUCGCAUGAUAUCUACUUGAAAGGUGCAAUUGCAUCACUACCAGAUGGACCUGCGUUGUAUUAGCUAGUUGGUGAGGUAACGGCUCACCAAGGCGACGAUACAUAGCCGACCUGAGAGGGGGAACGGCCACACUGGGACUGAGACACGGCCCAGACUCCUUCGGGAGGCAGCAGUAGGGAAUCUUCGGCAAUGGACGGAAGUCUGACCGAGCAACGCCGCGUGAGUGAAGAAGGUUUUCGGAUCGUAAAGCUCUGUUGUAAGGGAAGAACGAGUGUGAGAGUGGAAAGUUCACACUGUGACGGUAUCUUACCAGAAAGGGACGGCUAACUACGUG